UCUCUCUUUUCCACGCCGAGUACUUGCAACAGUACGGCCUCUGUUUUCCAUGCAUGGUACUUGCAGUAGUUCUUGAUCAGUAGUACUUGAAGUAGUCGGAUUGAGUUGUUCUUGAUCCCAUAGUACUUGAAGUAGUCGGAUUUAGUACUAUCAGUAGUUGUUGAUCCAGUAGAGUUUGGAGUUCCUGAAUCCUUAAUGGACACUGCCAUUCUCCGUCUCUGCUCAGUCUCGCCCCUGAAUCCUUAAUGGACACCAAACAACAGAACUGCAGACUGCAGUUCCUGCCCAGCUAAAGAUAGCAGUUCCUGCCAGGUCACUCUUGUGCUAAAGAUAGCUCCCAAGUAAAGAAAGGAUAUGAGUAUUUCCUAUGCUUUCCUGUAGAGAAUAGUUCUUGAUCCAAGUCACUUUUGUUACUUUCUUAGUGAACUGAACGACCAAACUGAGUACUUUCUGUAGAGAAUAGUUCUUGGUCACUCCUUAUGCUAAACUGAGUAAACUGAACCAGAAGAUACUUUCUGGGUCACUCUUGCAGUAGUUCUCGAUCAAAGUAAAUAAAGGAGUAAAAAAUGUUAAGAAAGAACGCACGAAAGAAUUUUUUUGUUAUGUUUUCCUGUACUGCAAGUAGUUUGUAGAGUUCUUGCAGUAAAGAGAAUUGUACUCUGGGGUAGUUCUUGAUCCGAUGCUUCCAAUACAGAAGUGCUCCAUUGUCUUGAGUAAACAAGAAAACCUCCGGUACCUAAGAGCAUCUCCAGCCGUUGCGCCUCCCAGGAGGCAUUUUUUCAGCCUCCUGGGGUUGGCCCGCGAUAUUUGUGACAUUGGGGUCAAAAAUUUCCCAGUCGUCGCCCCUCGCCAUACUCUAUCCGCAGCUCCUCCUCUCCUCCUGGCCGCCACGCCCGCGCGGCCGCCAGCUCCUGCCGCAGCUCCUCCUCUCCGCCGCGCCCGCACGGCCGCCAGCUCCUGCCAUAGCUCCUCCUCCCCGCCAGCUCCUCCCCGCAGCAAGGCCCCCGGCGAGCUCCUCCUCCCGGCCACAGCUCCUCUUCGACCUCGUCUGCACGACGGCGAGCGGGGAGGCAGGUGCUCCGCCCAGCCGCGAGCUCCGCCCCGGCCACGCUUCGCCCAGGCACAAGCUUGGCCCUGACCACGCUCCGCCCGGCCGCGAGCUCGGCCCCAGCCACGCUCCGCCCGGUCGCGGAGUUGCUCGCCCCGUCCCGUCCACGCCCGGCCACGAGCUCCGCCAGCGCUCGGGAGAGGAGAGAGGAAAAGAGAGGACAGAGGGGGAGAGAGGGAGGUGGGAGACUGAGGGUGGGCCAACACCGAGAAAAAGGAAGAGCCGGCACGCCCAGCUGCCCCCCGGGGGGCUGGGUUCGGGGUGGGAGUGCCGGCGUCGUUUUUCUCCAAAACCGGCGGAAAGUGUCGCUUCGAGGGCGCGAGUGGGAUGAUUUUUUGCCGCUGGUGCUAAAAAUUGGCCUGGGGGGCGUUCUUGGGGACGUGGGUGGAGAUGCUCUAACAGGUCACUUGCAAGCAAUUGCUAUAGAACAAAAUUAACCAAUCGAUGUGGAGUCAUUUACAUGCAGGUGUAGGACUUGUCGUAGUUUUCUUCCAAUCAGGAGUAGCAAGUGCAAACUAAAUGAAUCUUCCGUGGGACGCGGAGUAUGUGAUCGCGAGCUCACAGGAGCACGGAAUCACACCCGUCCAGGAUUGUUGUGAGAUUCGGUGCAUUGAAUGGAGGUGUCAGUGGGCCGGUUCAUGCGCGAUUGUGAAAAAAUGGUAUGCUCCCGUGUGCUCUCCUGACACAUGGGCCCUGAUUGAACGGAAGCUUGGACGUCGUCGACGGCCAGAGACCCGAACCGUGGCUCUAGAUGUCGCCGGAGUCCUGAUCCGUGGACCAGAUCACCGGCUGCCGGUAGCGCCGUCUGGGUGGGGCAGUAAAUGCGUUUAGGUGCGGCGCUUGGUGCCAGGGCAGAAAAGUUGGGUUAGGUAUGCUUCCCAGCCGGCGGGACGGUGAGGAAAUCUAGUGCGCCGGCGGUGGCUGCGCUACCAAGAGGCUCAGAAGUUCAGCGGCGGCCAUAGAGUUCCUGAUGCAACCUAUAAACAGAACAUUCCUAGAGGAGGUGAAUGAAAACAACGACAGUGUGGAGCCGAUUCGGUUCCCGGUGAGCGUGCCGGCAGAUGUUGAUCUGCCAUCGCGGGCAGCUUCAAGUGGGCACGGCCAGAUCUGCCUUGAAGACGUCGCUGCAGAGGCAGUAAGCGGAGGGAAGACUCAGGGUUCAGAGCAGUCGACAGAGCAAAUGGACCCAAAAACUCCAGGUUGGACACAAAGAGUGCGUGUGGGUGCUGCUGCUCUAGGCAGGGCUCCUUGUGCAGACAGGGUGACAGCCUUCAAAAAAACCGUACGGCAAUUUGCAAAGGAUCCAGGGGACAUUGUGAUUGUGCCAAAGAUAGGAACAAGUUUCGACACGCUCGGUGAAGCCUACGACUUUUACAAUUUAUAUUCUUGGGAGAAAGGAUUUGGCAUUAGAUAUGAAAAGAGCAUGCUAAAUGUGAACCGGACGAAGUGCAUGCAAGAGAUAGUGUGUGGAUGUGCGGUAUGGGGAAGCCAAUCGUUAAAAAUACACAAUCUUGUCGCCGUCAAUGCCCAACACUCAUAAGGCUGUCGCGUUCCAAGGAUAAUGGGUGGUACUGUGCAGCCACAUCCUGAAGAUAAUGGACUUCAUACGUGUCAUGAAAAUCCCAAAAAGCACAUUGUGAAGAGGUGGCACGAGAUGCAAGAGAUAUUCUUCUAGCACACCUCACACAAUACCAGAGGGACAAUGCUCAAGAAAACCCAUUCAGUUUCCGAUAUUUCAAUAUGUAUAUGCAAGCCAUGGAGCUUGUCCAAAUGGGAGACUGCAGCGUGGCAGCGUAUCAACAUUUGAUUUCAAUGUUCAGGCAAUGUGCAUCUGAAAAUGAAGCCAUUCACAGAAGUGCGAGAUGGGUUGGGUUCGGAAGACAGGUUAGCAGACAAUAUAAAGGUUCCAUUAACGCCGUGUGCAGGUACGGAAGGUACACAGAUUACCAUCCGCGAUGGUGACUGCAACUCCGCAAACGAAUCUGGAAAUGUCCGAGCAACCUUAUUGCUGCCAGCAAAGUGUGACCAGCCAAAAAUGCUCCAAGGCCUGGGAUGGUCGAAUUCAGGGAAACGCAGAUUCGGAGGCGUCAGUUAACCAGGGAGAUGAUCGUGUCCUUGUGAGAAGUGGGAGCUCAGUGGUUUCCUCGCUGUCUCUGCAGGUAAGGGGUGGUCACGACGAUGGCGAAGCACAUGGAUUACAAGACUACGUGGUGCACAUGAGGAGCAAGCUUACGGUGAUGCAGAGGAGGGUACGACGACCACGACCCUGGUGCUAAUGAGUCCGACGAAGAUUACACAGAAUCAGACGAUAGGUGUUUAGGAGACGAGGACGAUGUGCAAGAGAGCAACCGCCGCUGCGCCAAGCGUGCUAGAAUUAACUAAGAAUCCGUAUUGUAGGCCAUCGCGUGUCAAUGCAGCUAUGGUAAUGACGCCAUUUCCUUGCUGACGAGUUGGACCAAUCAAGACAUCGUACUGUUCUGUUUAGUUCACCUGUAGCUUCAAAUGGGCCCUGCUUCCUGCAGUUGUAAGCUUUUUGUUAUCGUACAAGCAGUGUGGUCUCUGAUGUGGUACUUGAAGUGUGAGGGCUGGACCUAAAAUGAACA